CCUCCCUGUGGCUGGGCCAGUCAGACCCCAGCACAUGGCCAUUCAACCAAAGCAACCUCUCACACUUGGUUGAUUGGUGAGUUGGAGGCUCCAGUGGCCCCUGUCAGACUUGAGACCUCAGACCUGCCCACCACAGCCAGUUUCCCACACAGCCUGGGACUGACUGGGUGACGGAGAAGGAUCCUUACCAUGGAACUAGCCAGGUCCAGCCCCAGGGUUGCAAAGAUUGAUGAUUGGAAGUUGGGACUCCAGCCCAAGCUGGGGGAGGAUCCUUUCCCCUCUGGGCUCCUGUGUUUCCACCUAAGCCCGGCUCACCCAUGAGCCAGGCAUCUGCUGGCAGAUGAGAACAAGACGUGGUCUCAGGAAGUCUGCAGGCAGACCAGGAGCCCAGGCCUUCAAGGAUGAGACCUGAGGCCAUGCCGCAUUCCUGGCCUGGCCAUGUCUGUUCAUAGAAUUGCCUCCACGUUAGCCAGCCCCAUGCCUCCAGACUCUAUGUCUACACAGCUCACCUUGGCCAUCUCGGGGCCAGAGGGCAGAAGCAGCUUAUGUUGGGAAGGGGCAUCUGAGAAGAAGGAGCAGGUCUGCUUGUCAAGAGUCCAAGCACGCCUGUGUUCUGUGGCCACAGGAGAGGAGGGGCCGCUUUUAAAUACAAGCCUACUCCUGUCGUUGGACCAGAACAAAGACCUACUGGCCAGAAGCACAUGAGAGGAGGAGUUUCACUCUUGUCGCCCAGACUAGAGCGCAAUGGUACGAUCUUGGCUCACUGCAACUUCCACCUCCCGAGUUCAAGCAAUUCUCCUGACAGAAGUCCACUCAAGCCAGCCAUUG
rnacentral:lncRNA from 1 species